rnacentral:rRNA from 1 species
AGACAUACAGGUCGAGCAAGGAUGAAAAUCGGACUUAGUGAGCCGGUGGUUCUGCGUGGAAGGGCCAUCGCUCAACGGAUAAAAGCUACCCUGGGGAUAACAGGCUUAUCUCCCCCAAGAGUCCACAUCGACGGGGAGGUUUGGCACCGCGAUGUCGGCUCAUCACAUCCUGGGGCUGUAGUAGGUCCCAAGGGUUGGGCUGUUCGCCCAUUAAAGUGGUACGCGAGCUGGGUUCAGAACGUCGUGAGACAGUUCGGUCCCUAUCCGUCGCAGGCGUAGGAAAUUUGAGAAG